UACAGAGGUCCCAAGCGUUGUUCGGAUUCACUGGGCGUAAAGGGUGCGUAGGUGGCCGAGUAAGUCUGACGUGAAAUCUCCAAGCUCAACUUGGAAACUGCGUCGGAUACUAUCCGGCUAGAGGAUCGGAGGGGAGACUGGAAUACUUGGUGUAGCAGUGAAAUGCGUAGAUAUCAAGUGGAACACCAGUGGCGAAGGCGGGUCUCUGGGCAGUAACUGACGCUGAGGAGCGAAAGCGUGGGGAGCGAACAGG
rnacentral:rRNA from 1 species